AUGAGCACGCCAUGCGACGGCCCCAAGACGGAGUGGCCUGAGCUGGUCGGCCGGACGAUCAAGGAGGCGGAGGAGAAGAUCAAGGCGGACCGACCGGACCUCACCGUGGAUGUUGUCCCAGUAGGAACUAAUGUGACGGGUGAGUUCAAUGAGAACCGCGUCCGCGUCUGGGUCGACACGGUGGCGGAGGUUCCCCGGAUUGGCUAA
rnacentral:rRNA from 1 species